rnacentral:misc_RNA from 1 species
AACGCACAUUGCGCCCUUUGGUAUUCCUUUGGGCACGCCUGUUCGAGCGUCAUUUACCCCCUCAAGCUCAGCUUGGUGAUGGGCGUCUGUCCUGCCUCCCGCGCAUGGACUCGCCUUAAAAGCAUUGGCGGCCGCUACAUUGGCUUCGAGCGCAGCAAAACGCGCCUUCGUCGCAAUGGAUCGGUUCCCAGAAGCCCCCUUUUUAUCAGUUUUGACCUCGGAUCAGGUGAGAAUACCCGCUGAACUUAA